GACGAACGCUGGCGGCGUGCUUAACACAUGCAAGUCGAGCGGGUAAGGCCCUUUCGGGGGUACACGAGCGGCGAACGGGUGAGUAACACGUGGGUGACCUGCCCUCAGCUCUGGGAUAAGCCUGGGAAACUGGGUCUAAUACUGGAUAUGACUCCACGGUGCAUGUCGUGGGGUGGAAAGCCUUGUGCGGCUGAGUAUGGGCCCGCGGCCUAUCAGCUUGUUGGUGGGGGAUGGCCUACCAAGGCGACGACGGGUAGCCGGCCUGAGAGGGCGACCGGCCACACUGGGACUGAGACACGGCCCAGACUCCUACGGGAGGCAGCAGUGGGAAUCUUGCGCAAUGGGCGAAAGCCUGACGCAGCGACGCCGCGU
rnacentral:rRNA from 1 species